UACAGAGGGGGCAAGCGUUAUUCGGAAUUAUUGGGCGUAAAGGGCGCGUAGGCGGCUUUGCAAGUGACGGGUGAAAUCCCUCGGCUUAACCGAGGAACUGCCUGUCAAACUGCAUGGCUUGAGACCAGGAGAGGUGAGUGGAAUUCCCAGUGUAGCGGUGAAAUGCGUAGAUAUUGGGAGGAACACCAGUGGCGAAGGCGGCUCACUGGACUGGUACUGACGCUGAUGCGCGAAAGCGUGGGGAGCAAACAGG
rnacentral:rRNA from 2 species